AUUGUUUCGAACGACCAUUUUUUAAGUAAAGAUGGACGGAUCGGUCGUGAGGGUUCUUUUGCCAUUUACCGUGGCUCCCUCGAAAUACAUUAGCGCAUCCAUUUGAUAGGCAAGAACGGACGAAAGCUCAUCCUUUUCGCCCUCUCUUCCCUGCCGGGUUUUGAUAAUAUCAGGACUUCGGAGGCGGAGAAAGGGUACCGAGCUGGACGCAACGUUUUUGCUGUUUGGCGUGCUUCUGAACCCCGCCCAUGCCUCUUUCGGGAGGAAGGGAUUUUACUAAUU
rnacentral:misc_RNA from 1 species